rnacentral:rRNA from 1 species
AUUGAACGCUGGCGGCAGGCCUAACACAUGCAAGUCGAGCGGAUGAAGGGAGCUUGCUCCUGGAUUCAGCGGCGGACGGGUGAGUAAUGCCUAGGAAUCUGCCUGGUAGUGGGGGAUAACGUCCGGAAACGGGCGCUAAUACCGCAUACGUCCUGAGGGAGGAAGUGGGGGAUCUUCGGACCUCACGCUAUCAGAUGAGCCUAGGUCGGAUUAGCUAGUUGGUGGGUAAAGGCCUACCAAGGCGACGAUCCGUAACUGGUCUGAGAGGAUGAUCAGUCACACUGGAACUGAGACACGGUCCAGACUCCUACGGGAGGCAGCAGUGGGGAAUAUUGGACAAUGGGCGAAAGCCUGAUCCAGCCAUGCCGCGUGUGUGAAGAAGGUCUUCGGAUUGUAAAGCACUUUAAGUUGGGAGGAAGGGCAGUAAGUUAAUACCUUGCUGUUUUGACGUUACCAACAGAAUAAGCACCGGCUAACUUCGUG